rnacentral:rRNA from 1 species
ACUUUACAAUGCGGGAAACCGUGAUAAGGGAACUCCGAGUGUCCGUAAAUGCGGACUGUCCGUAUGUUUAAAAAGCAUGCGAAGAAAGGGCCGGGCAAGACCGGUGCCAGCCGCCGCGGUAAUACCGGCGGCUCGAGUGGUGGCCACUAUUAUUGGGCUUAAAGCGUUCGUAGCUGGGUUAUUAAGUCUCUUGGGAAAUCUACCGGCUUAACCGAUAGGCGUCCAAGGGAUACUGGUAAUCUAGGGACCGGGAGAGGUGAGGGGUACUUCAAGGGUAGGAGUGAAAUCCUGUAAUCCUUGGGGGACCACCUGUGGCGAAGGCGCCUCACCAGAACGGCUCCGACAGUGAGGGACGAAAGCUGGGGGAGCAAACCGGAUUAGAUACCCGUGUAGUCC